rnacentral:rRNA from 1 species
AGGAUCCGAGCGUUAUCCGGAUUUAUUGGGUUUAAAGGGAGCGUAGGCGUGUUGUUAAGUCAGUUGUGAAAGUUUGCGGCUCAACCGUAAAAUUGCAGUUGAUACUGGCGACCUUGAGUGCAACAGAGGUAGGCGGAAUUCGUGGUGUAGCGGUGAAAUGCUUAGAUAUCACGAAGAACUCCGAUUGCGAAGGCAGCUUACUGGAUUGUAACUGACGCUGAUGCUCGAAAGUGUGGGUAUCAA